GGGCGUAAGCGUACGUAGGCGGCGUGUUAAGCAAGAUGUGAAAGCCCCGGGCUCAACCUGGGAAUUGCAUUUUGAACUGGCAUGCUAGAGUCCUGAAGAGGGUGGUAGAAUUUCCAGUGUAGCGGUGAAAUGCGUAGAUAUUGGAAGGAAUACCGGUGGCGAAGGCGGCCACCUGGUCAGAGACUGACGCUGAGGUACGAAAGCGUGGGGAGCAAACAGGAUUAGAUACCCUGGUAGUCCACGCCGUAAACGAUGUCAACUAGUUGUUCGUGUCAUUAAGACGUGAGUAACGCAGCUAACGCACUAAGUUGACCGCCUGGGGAGUACGGCCGCAAGGUUAAAACUCAAAUGAAUUGACGGGGGCCCGCACAAGCGGUGGAGCAUGUGGUUUAAUUCGAUGCAACGCGAAGAACCUUACCAUCCCUUGACAUCCAGUGAAUUUU
rnacentral:rRNA from 1 species